rnacentral:ncRNA from 2 species
ACAUCCGAAUAGGGGUGUUCCGAGCCUGGAUGCCGGAACUGAGAUAAUACCCUUUGAACCUGAUACAGUUCGUACUGUCGUAGGGAAAUCGGAGACGGAACCC